rnacentral:rRNA from 1 species
AUUGAACGCUGGCGGCAGGCCUAACACAUGCAAGUCGAGCGAGCGGCGGACGGGUGAGUAAUGUAUGGGGACUGCCCGAUAGAGGGGGAUAACUACUGGAAACGGUAGCUAAUACCGCAUACUAUCGGAUAACCCAUAUGGGAUUAGCUCGUAGGUGGGGUAAUGGACCCCCUAGGAGACGCUCCCUAGCUGGUCUGAGAUGAUGAUCAGCCACACUGGGACUGAGACACGGCCCAGACUCCUACGGAGGCAGCAGUGGGGAAUAUUGCACAAUGGGCGCAAGCCUGAUGCAGCCAUGCCGCGUGUAUGAAGAAGGCCCUAGGGUUGUAAAGUACUUUCAGUCGGGAGGCGUUACCGACAGAAGAAGCACCGGCUAACUCUGUGCCAGCAGCCGCGGUAAUAC